AGCGAACGCUGGCGGCAUGCUUAACACAUGCAAGUCGCACGGUCAGCAAUGGCAGUGGCGGACGGGUGAGUAACGCGUAGGAAUCUAUCUUCUGGUGGGGGACAACCGUGGGAAACUACGGCUAAUACCGCAUGAUACCUGAGGGUCAAAGGCGCGAGUCGCCGGGAGAGGAGCCUGCGUCUGAUUAGCUAGUUGGUGGGGUAAAGGCCUACCAAGGCGACGAUCAGUAGCUGGUCUGAGAGGAUGAUCAGCCACAUUGGGACUGAGACACGGCCCAAACUCCUACGGGAGGCAGCAGUGGGGAAUAUUGGACAAUGGGGGCAACCCUGAUCCAGCAAUGCCGCGUGUGUGAAGAAGGUCUUCGGAUUGUAAAGCACUUUUGGCAGGGACGAUGAUGACGGUACCUGCAGAAUAAGCCCCGGCUAACUUCGUGCCAGCCGCCGCAGUAACAC
rnacentral:rRNA from 1 species